rnacentral:misc_RNA from 1 species
AAGUCGUAACAAGGUGAACCUGCGAAAGGAUCAUUAACACGUAUCCAACGUUAAAACCCCCCGUUUCAGGGACUUCUGCGAAGAGUGUGCUAGCGCGAGGCAAGUGCUGGCAUCCUUGUCUGAAAGUGUCAAGGGUGGCGCAGUCACGAUCGCUAGAGGCCGACACGGCCGGCGACCGGGUCACCGGGCUCACGCCCCUUAAUAACCUUUGCAUGAAAACGGGCCUGCGCUUAAUUGUGCGGCCAUAAACCGAACAACUGUUAACAAUGGAUAUCUUGGUUCUC